AUAUAAUAAAAAUAUAAAAAAAAUGGAGAGAUGGCAGAGUGGUUAAUUGCGGCGGUCUUGAAAACCGUUGAGGUUUUUUAUUCCUCCGGGGGUUCGAAUCCCUCUCUCUCCGC
rnacentral:tRNA from 1 species